GGGAACGCUGAUGCCAGCCGUGCCUCCUCCCAGCUCCUCCCAAGGUCAGGAACAGCUGCAGGGCUGGACAGACCUAGUGGCAUGUGUUGGGGAAGGGAUCCCUAGAUGUAUGCCCCACCUGACUCCAUGAGGCUCCUCAGCUGCAUCUCCACCUCAGCCGCCCGCCCAUCUAUCUGCCUCUGCUCCUGUUCCAGGGCCUGCAGCUCUGCACACACGUACUGACUUGUGUCCUGGAACCGUUGCAGCCCAGCCUCCUCCCCUGGGCUUGGGGGUGGUUCCUCCGAGGGGGAACUCCCACCAGGGGGCUGUUGAGAGUCUGCAGCUGUGGGUGGGCCUGGGGCAGGGCUGGGGUCAGGGGCCUGGCCUUCUGCAGCCGCAGCUCCCAUGGCUCCCGCGUCCGGAUCGUCC
rnacentral:lncRNA from 1 species